rnacentral:rRNA from 1 species
UACGUAGGGGCCUAGCGUUGUCCGGAAUUAUUGGGCGUAAAGGGCGCGUAGGCGGCUCUGCAAGUCCGUUGUGAAAUCGCCCGGCUCAACUGGGCGGGGUCAGCGGAUACGGCAGAGCUUGAGCAAGCUAGGGGGCAAUGGAAUUCCCGGUGUAGUGGUGGAAUGCGUAGAUAUCGGGAGGAACACCAGUGGCGAAGGCGGUUGCCUGGGGCUUUGCUGACGCUGAUGCGCGAAAGCGUGGGGAGCGAUCCGG